CAGACUAUGCGGUAGCGGAAACGCUUUAGUUUACGAGGAAAGUCCGAGCAUCACAGAGCAGGAUAGCUGCUAACGGCAGCCGAGGGCGACCUUAGGGCUAGUGCAACAGAGAUAUACUGCCUUGUUUUCAAGGUGAUGGUGGAAAGGUAGAGUAAGAGCCUACCAGAGUACAGGAGACUGUGCUGCUAUGUAAACCCUAUUUGAUGCAACGUCUAUUGGUGCUUUAUAUCAUAACAUCUGCUCGGUGGAUAUAAAGUAAUGACGGCUUGAGCUUAUCGGCGACGAUAAGCCUAGAUAAAUUACCGCACACGACAGAACUCGGCUUAUCGGUCUGGU
rnacentral:RNase_P_RNA from 1 species